rnacentral:lncRNA from 1 species
CACCCCCACAGCAACACACAACUGUCACACACACACUGUACAUAUACACAAGCACACCCCCACAGCAACACACAACUGCCACACACACUGUAAUAUACACAUGCACACUACAUAUACACAAGCACACACACACACACACUGUAAUAUACACAAGCACACUCCCACAGCAACAUGUACUUACAAACACAAAGAAAUGGAGGCUUGGAGGGCCUCGACUGAGGAAAGGAGCGUGAAAGGGAAAUGUAUUGAAGAAGUGGGUGGAGCAGUGGUUCUUACCAUUCAGGGAACCUUGGCAUUAUGGGUAACUCACUAGAACACCCAUACUGUCCCCUGUGUGCUCACCCUCAGGGUGAGGUGCUGGGAUUGCCAUUCUUAACAGUUUCUUUGGGUGGCUGUUGGGAUUGGGGACCUUUGGAGUUUUACUAUUUCUGUUUUGACCCCAUAUCUGUAAUUUGGUAGUCGGGGAUCACAAUUUUACAAAACAUUUGUACUCUAGGCUCAAUCACACACAAAACAGAGAUAAUGGUAAUUUAAUGGGUGUAAGGCUGAGCUGAUGUUCACAAACAUAUCUAGUGUAACAUUAAUUUAUCUAAGCACUCAGUUUCCUUCUUUUUUAUUUUUUCUUGGCAAGAACAAGCAUUCUUUAUUGCCUCCAUGGUCCCUUGUUAAAUUUACAUAACUUAGGUAAAACUGUUAUUUCAUUUUUUGUAUUAGAUAUUUUCUUUAUUUACAUUUC